AUAUAGAACUAAAAUAUUUAGACACAAAGAGGUCCGAGCGUGACUGUCAAAUCUACAUAUUCUCUCUCUCUCUCUCUCUUUCUUUCUUUCGCUCUAAAAACUCUCUCUCAUGAUUCAGAAAAACUCUGUUCUUUUAAUUUUUGGUUCCUGAGAUUCGAUUCAAUCGGCGAUCUUUUUCCACUGAUCCUCGGGAAUCCCUCGUCUUCCUUCUUUCAAUCUGUGUCUCCUUCCCAGAAUAUAAUGCUCCAGAUUUUCAAGGCCCGGUUUUGAUUUGAUAGAACUCUGACUCAGCAAGUGGGGAAAAAUAUGGAGGGUGACGCGUUCUCAGGGCUUGGCAAUGGUACUCAGAUAGAUGGCAAGAUCGUGCAGACAUUUCAGAAGAGCUUUGUUCAGGUUCAGCAUAUCUUGGACCAGAAUAGGCUGCUCAUCAAUGAGAUAAACCAGAAUCAUGAGUCCAAGAUCCCUGACAACUUGAGCAGAAAUGUUGGUCUAAUUAGGGAGCUCAACAACAACAUAAGAAGAGUGGUUGACCUCUAUGCUGAUCUUUCAAGUUCCUUCACCAAGUCCGUGGAUGCCUCGUCUGAGGGGGAUUCUAGCGGUGCUAUGAAAUCAGACGGCAAAGCUGGUCACAAAAGAAACAGGCCGGCUUGAUUUAGAGAGAAAAGUUGGGUUUUUUUCUUUUUUAUUAGUAAUUCUUUUGCAUGGUGCCAAAUGAAGAAUCUUCACAGCUUUGUUGAGGUAGUAGAAAAUGGUCAGAUUCUGUAACUCCCCUCGUAUUAGUGAUGAACUGUCUUUAGUUCUCGACUUACUGCUCACAUUUGUUAGUCAAAAUAAUCGGUCUAAAAUUUCUUCUAUUGCAUUGUAACUCCGUGUAACCCUGGAUCUAAUUGAAAUGAAGCAUGUGGGUGUUCAUUUCUAAUU